CCUGGUUGAUCCUGCCAGUAGUCAUAUGCUUGUCUCAAAGAUUAAGCCAUGCAUGUAUAAGUUCACAGCUUUAAACGCUGAAACCGCGAAUGGCUCAUUAAAUCAGCUAUGGUUCCUUAGAUCUUACAUCCAUACUUGGAUAACUGUAGUAAUUCUAGAGCUAAUACAUGCCACUUAAGCCCCUUCUUCGGAAGGGGUGGAUUUAUUAGAAUAAAAACCAACCGGUUUCGGCCGUCGGUUUGAUGACUCUGGAUAACUUUUCUGAUGGCAAGGCCUUGUGCCUGCCACGUAUCUUUCAAAUGUCUGCCCUAUCAACUUUCGAUGGUAGGAUAUUUGCCUACCAUGGUUAUAACGGGUAACGGGGAAUCAGGGUUCGAUUCCGGAGAGGGAGCCUUAGAAACGGCUACCACAUCUAAGGAAGGCAGCAGGCGCGCAAAUUACCCACUCUCAGCAAGAGGAGGUAGUGACGAAAAAUAACGAUGCAGGACUCUAAACGAGGCCCUGUAAUUGGAAUGAGAACAAUUUAAAUCCUUUAUCGAAUACAAAUGGAGGGCAAGUCUGGUGCCAGCAGCCGCGGUAACUCCAGCUCCAUUAGCAUAUAUUAAAGUUGUUGCAGUUAAAAAGCUCGUAGUUGGAUCUCAGGCAAGGGACUAGUGGUCCACCUCUGGUGUGACUGCAAGUUACCGCCUCAUUAGCUGUAUGUGGUCGUGUGUGCUCUUUACUGGGUGUGCAUGAUACUCAGCACGUUUACUUUGAAAAAAUCAGAGUGCUCAAAGCAAGCCUUGUGCUUGAAUAGUGUUGCAUGGAAUAAUAAAAUAGGACUUCGUUUCUAUUUUGUUGGUUUUCGGUCACGAAGUAAUGAUUAAAAGAGACAAAUGGGGGCAUCUGUAUGGUGGCGUUAGAGGUGAAAUUCGAUGACCGCCGCCAGACAAUCUACUGCGAAAGCAUUUGCCAAAGAUGUUUUCAUUAAUCAAGAACGAAAGUCAGAGGUUCGAAGACGAUCAGAUACCGUCCUAGUUCUGACCAUAAACGAUGCCGAUUGACAAUCAGGGUUUUUUUAUCUUUUUUGAACCCUGGCAGUCCCUGGGAAACCUUUAAAUUCACAGGUUCUGGGGGAAGUAUGGUUGCAAGGCUGAAACUUAAAGGAAUUGACGGAAGGGCACCACCAGGAGUGGAGCCUGUGGCUUAAUUUGACCCAACACGGGAAAACUCACCCGGCCCGAACACUGUGAGGAUUGACUGAUUGAUAGCUCUUUCUUGAUUCAGUGGGUGGUGGUGCAUGGCCGUUCUUAGUUGGUGGAGUGAUUUGUCUGGUUAAUUCCGAUAACGAACGAGACUCUAGCC
rnacentral:rRNA from 1 species